GAUGAACGCUGGCGGCGUGCCUAAUACAUGCAAGUCGGGCGAACAGAUGAGGAGCUUGCUCCUCUGACGUUAGCGGCGGACGGGUGAGUAACACGUGGAUAACCUACCUAUAAGACUGGGAUAACUUCGGGAAACCGGAGCUAAUACCGGAUAAUAUAUUGAACCGCAUGGUUCAAUAGUGAAAGACGGUUUUGCUGUCACUUAUAGAUGGAUCCGCGCCGCAUUAGCUAGUUGGUAAGGUAACGGCUUACCAAGGCAACGAUGCGUAGCCAACCUGAGAGGGUGAUCGGCCACACUGGAACUGAGACACGGUCCAGACUCCUACGGGAGGCAGCAGUAGGGAAUCUUCCGCAAUGGGCGAAAGCCUGACGGAGCAACGCCGCGUGAGUGAUGAAGGUCUUCGGAUCGUAAAACUCUGUUAUUAGGGAAGAACAAAUGUGUAAGUAACUAUGCACGUCUUGACGGUACCUAAUCAGAAAGCCACGGCUAACUACGUG
rnacentral:rRNA from 1 species